CAGCAAUUUAUUUGCUAAUGUACAAGAGACUGAACGAGAUUAAUGUGCCGAUAUACUCACAGCGAAGUUCUUUUUCGUUCUUUGCUUAGAAGUAAAAAGAAGUUGAAAAUAUACCAAGUUUGCAGGCAUAUAUUUUAACGAACAUCCCGACGCCGCCCACGCUGCUGAGAGUGACAUUUCGAAUGCUGCGCGCUUUCCUCAAUAACAACAAGAUAAAGACGACAAAAAUGAAAGCGGCGAGAAAACAGAAGUGACAUAGCUGCCACCCAGAAUUCUUCACAAGGAGGUGGCAGAGAGGUCAAAUCAAACAGACGUCUGAAAAAGAGGCCCAGGAGGAAAUGGUAUUUAGAAGCUCAAACAGGAUGUCCCGCUGCUCGUCCUGACUGUGAACCCCCACCCAACACUGUGAAAUGGCUUAAGUUAAUCCAAGAUCCUGAAAGUAGUGCAGUUUUUUUUUUUCCACUCCCUUGUUCUUCAUCAUUUAGAAGGCUUCAGGAAAAGAAGAGGGGGACACAAUGAUUUCCUUCUGGUGUGUCUCAAACACAGACAGACUACCUGCUGUGUGAGACUAUCUCCAAGUGUGUCCUUCGUAAAUGUGAACAGUGUUUAUGUCCAGCGUUUGAUGAGGUGGACUUGAUGAUGCCCGUUGAAAAAAAACAAACAAAAAAACUUAUAUCAAAUGAAAACUAUCUGAGAUCAUAAUGUAAUGUACAUAAAUUAUAAUAGAAUUAGGUGAACUAAUUUUAUUCAACAGGAAAAUGAUUUUGACCUAAAAAGGCUUUCAAAGAGUGAAUAACUUUGCUGUGUGUUAACAGAUGGUGCCAAAAGAAAAGCUGUCUGUCUCAAAAUGUCGCUUGGGACAUUUUUUUCCCCUCAUACUUUUUGUGCCCAAACCCAUCAAAGCUCUGGUAUCUAACUUGCUGUGGUUCUUUUAAUUGGCUCAUGCCUCAGAUUUAUGAAGUAAUGAACAGGUGUUGGGUGGGAGGGACAGCAUGACAUGGAUUAUAAAAACCCCCCACCCGAUCUCUCUCACACACGUCUUUAAUUCUUCUGUAGUUCUCAUGGGCAGUUUCCCACUCUAUAUUUGUAGAUCCAACAAAUAAUCCAAUUUGUCAUGCAACAUCAGGGUAUUGUAUUGAAUUCUAAUGUCAUUUAUACUUUUCACAGAUUCAGAACCAGGUUUUACAGGUAAUUCUGGGCCAUUAAAAUACAGAAUAACCACUAAAAUUAUGUUGAAUGCAUCAAAGAUAUCAGAUUAGAUUAAAUUAUAUUAAAGAAUAAAAAGAAUAAUUUAAAAAUAUUGCUUGCACUAUAUUAGCCCAAUCUCAAAACUAUGGAAUAAAAUAAAUGAUGCCACCAAAAAUGUUAAAUUUCUUACACCAAGCUAUGUGCCUACAUGCUUACAUGCUCCUUGGUGAAUUACUCUAUUACUGGUGUGAAUCAUGUUCUUCAGUUGAGAACUGCAUACUUUCCACACAUGUCCUAUAUUGGAGAGACCGCAUGUGCUCACAACAAAAACUGACCACACAAUUGAGAUGACUUGUACUCUAAAAACGUCCAAACAACAUUCAUUCAUUACUUAGAAUACGACAAGAUAAACAUUAGACAUUUGCUCACAUCUCAAACCAAUAAGCUUUUGGAACAACUGUAGUUUGGUUGGCAUUCACUGCAGGAUGUUGGAUCCAGAGCCAGCUGCUCUCCCAUGAAUUGUGUGGAAUGGUGUUAAGUGAAGUGGCUUAGCCGUAAGCCCGUUAGAGAUGUGCUCACACUUCCCGUCCCUCAGCCUCUGUGAAUCAGUGAACAACAGAGGCUUUGUAGAGCCCGAGUCUGAAACCAAACAGCCGAGUUUAGCAGUACAGUCAUUUGAAGCAAUUACGAUUAGCUCCAAUCACUUCCUCCUGAAUAAUCAUACACUGGAGCGCCUGAACUCCUCAAAUAAGUCUUACCCCUGGUUUCACAGACAAUGUUUAAGCCUAGUCCUACGCUAAAUGUAUGUUUGAGCUGUUUUAACUGAGGAAACUUGCACUGACAUAUCUUAAGAUACACUAUGUCGUCAAAAGUAUUGGGACACCCCUCCAAAUCAUUGAAUUCAGGUGUUCCAAUCACUUCCAUGACCACAGGUGUAUAAAAUCAAGCACCUAGGCAUGCAGACUGCUUCUACAAACAUUUGUGAAAGAAUGGGUCGCUCUCAGGAGCUCAGUGAAUUCAAGUGUGGUACCGUGAUAGGUUGCCACCUGUGCAAUAAGUCCAUUCGUGAAAUUUCCUCACUACUAAAUAUUCCACGGUCAACUGUUAGUGGUAUCAUAACAAAGUGGAAGCAAUUGGGAACAACAGCAACUCAACCACGAAGUGGUAGGCCACGUAAAAUCACAGAGCGGGGUCAGCGCAUGCUGAGGCGCACAGUGCGCAGAAGUCGCCAACUUUCUGCAGAGUCAAUAGCUACAGACCUCCAAACUUCAUGUGGCCUUAAGAUUAUCUCAGGAACAGUGCAUAGGGAGCUUCAUGGAAUCCAUUCAUGCAUCCAAGCAUUACAUCAACAAGUGCAAUGCAAAGCGUUGAAUGCAGUGGUGUAAAGCACGCUGCCACUGGACUCUAGAGCAGUGGAGACGUGUUCUCUGGAGUGACGAAUCACGCUUCUCUGUCUGGCAAUCUGAUGGACGAAUCUGGGUUUGGUGGUUGCCAGGAGAACGGCACUUGCCUGACUGCACUGUGCCAAGUGUAAAGUUUGGUGGAGGGGGGAUUAUGGUGUGGGGUUGUUUUUCAGGGGUUUGGCUUGGCCCCUUAGUUCCACUGAAAGGAACUCUUAAUGCUUCAGCAUACCAAGACAUUUUGGACAAUUUCAUGCUCCCAACUUUGUGGGAACAGUUUGGGGAUGGCCCCUUCCUGUUCCAACAUGACUGCGCACCAGUGCACAAAGCAAGGUCCAUAAAGACAUGGAUGAGCGAGUUUGGUGUGGAGGAACUUGACUGGCCUGCACAGAGUCCUGACCUCAACCCGAUAGAAUACCUUUGGAAUGAAUUAGCGGAGACUGUGAGCCAGGCCUUCUCGCCAACAUCACUGCCUGACCUCACGAAUGCGCCUCUAGAAGAAUGGUCAAAAAUUCCCAUAAACACACUCCUAAACCUUGUGGAAAGCCUUCCCAGAAGAGUUGAGGCUGUUAUAGCUGCAAAGGGUGGGCCAACUCCAUAUAAAACCCUACAGAUUAAGAAUGGCAUGUCAUUAAAGUUCAUGUGCACAUAAAGGCAGGUGUCCCAAAACUUUUGGCAAUAUAGUGUAUGUCAGUGCCAUUGUUUUGUCUCAAGAUGCACAUCAGUAAUGUUUUCAAGAGUUUUUUCUAAGUUUGUCCAGGCAGUGUUGGAGCCACUUCAAAGGUCUGGCAUGAAAGUGUUGCCAUACCUGGACGACUGGCUUGUCUGUGCAGCAUCACCUCAGCAAGCAGUGGAUCAAGUGUGUCAUCUGUUGGACCAUAUUGUGGAUUUAGGAAUUACUGUGAAUUGGGACAAAUGCAAGCUUGUCCCAAUGCAGUUGACCAAUUUCAUAGGUCUUGCUCUGUCACAAUGUUGGCUGUUCCAACUCCAGAGAGAAUAAGGUCAAUUCUAAGGGCUGUAAGGCAUUUUCAGGUUGGCCACACUCAGCACCACUUUGCUCUCCUGAGACUCUUGGGGAAGCUCACAGCAGGAUCAACAGUAGUGCCACUGGGACUGUUGUGGCUCAGACCAUUCCAAUGAUGGCUCAUUCAAAAAUGUUUGUAUCCAAUAUGAGACCGAUGCACAAAAAUCAGAGUCACACAUUGUUGCAAGCCUAGGGCUCGCAUUGGUCACAGGAGUUUCUCAGAGGAGUACCAUUGGGACCUCCACCCUGGGGGUCUGGCUGAAAGGGGAGUGAAAGGCACUUGGGGAGGGGCUCUGCGCACAUCAAUGUCCUAGAGUUGACAGCGGUGUUUCUUACCCUUCCUCAUUUCCAAACUGUUCUCAGGGGAAAACAUGUUUUGGUACACAGGCAACAGGGUGACCAUGUUUUUUAUAUUAAUCAUCAGGGGCCAGUUGUUCAAAAGUAUUCUGAUCGGGUUGGAUCAAAUCUUGAAAAUGGGUUGUUCAAAAGAAAAAAAGGAUUUUGAAAUCAGAUUAGAUCACAAAAUCCAAUCUUGGUUUUGAUAUGGAUCAAAUCAUCAGUUUGUGUUGUUCAAAACUUUUUAAUAAAAUUUUUUAUCCAAAAAAUUAGGAUUGUACUGAUCCCAGCAGAAGGGUGUAUUUCAGGAGCAAAAAUGUAAUAAAACUUUAAAAAUGGUAAAAAAAAAUUACAACAUUUGUAUCAUAAUAUACACACACAUUUUUUUUAUUUCACUCUUGAUUAGUUUUAACUGUUAAAGUAAUAAAUUAAAAGUGGACAUUAUACCUAUUAAGCCUUUUGGUAGCCUACAGUAAAGUAAAAAAGAGAUUUUGGCAUCAUAAAAUAAUCCCCAAACAGUAAAUAUCGAAGAAAAAAAAAUACAAAAGCAUUGAAAUAUUCCCCCUUAAACUUUUUGAACAACUGGCCCCAGGCUAAAUAUUGAGCCUUUCAGUGGCCUACAGUAAAGUAAAAAAAGAGAUUUUGGUUCUAUAAAAGAAUCCCAAAACAGCUCUAUUAUCAAACAAAUAUAUCAAACAAAAAUAUAUUUCAUUCAAACUGUUUUUUUUAAUCACUGUUUGUAAACUAUAUUGGCACAAUCAUAAGAGAUGAACCAGUCAAAAGUUUUUUGCGAGCGAACGCAAAGUUUCUUGGGUGAACGCUAUGCAAAACUUCUGAGACAACGAAAAAACAUUGAAAAAUGGUCUCCAUAGA